CCAGAUCGAGUAAGAUGGUGCACCAUGGCGUGUGGUGGUGUAUUUUGCUUCCGAGAACAGUACUGUUUAUUUGAAGUGAGAUGUACUCGUCUAGUGCCUGGCAAAAAAUUGAAGGAUGAAGUGUCAUGUACUGUCUAUGUUGUAGUGAGCUGUAGUAGGAGUGAAACGAAAAUUUAUCUGCUGUUGUAUGUGCUAUUUCCCUGUAAUGUCUUGUGUACAUUUUACUU
rnacentral:rRNA from 1 species